GGUAUCUGGCGUGACCCCCUUGUGUGCCGUGUGUCCCGCGUCCUCCGGCUGGACGUGCUGUCGUCUCCUGCAGGAGAGACGUGAGGCCAUCGUGCGCUUCAUGACCGAGGGGCGACUCAACAACCUGCUGGACGUGUUGCGGGCGAGGCGGGCGGUCACACGCGAGGACUACGAGUUCAUCACGGCGGCCAUGACACUGAGCGCACGCACGCGCUGCCUCCUGGACACGUGCGCUUGUCUGGGGGAGAAAGUCGCCGUCCUUGUAGCCACCACUCUGGGUCUGGUCUCUAUCGAGGCCACAAACGGACACGCCCGCUCUGUCUCUCUCUUCUAAAGGCCAGGGAAUGAAAUCACUAAAGUGUUCCUCUGUUAUUGACCUCGUUAGUGAGUUAUCUAAGAAGCAUCACGCCCUUUGUUAUAGAGACGGCGACAGAUUUGAUGUAAACUCGGCGCGUGCGACUUGAUCAGACGAGAGCUGAUCUGAUCACAGCGCGUCAGACAUCAUCAGCAGCAUUCUGUGGAGGUGUGAACCUCUUAAUCAGCACCUUUUUAACUCUUUUAAGUGAAUCUCAGGCUAUCAAAGAGGUCCGUGAUCUAUUACAACCUAAUUUAAGGAGCGUAUUUGUUCAGUUGUUUGUAAAAAAUGUUGUUUUUAAAAAAAAAAAAAUUAGAAGUUUUCCGUUUCUAUGGUCUUUUUUUUUUUCCGUCCAGCUUUUAAACGUACGCAUUGUUUCUGUCGCUUUUAUGAACCUAUGUGUGAGCUGGGAUUGUCCAUAUUUCUCUCAGUAUGUAAGCAUGGUAUGCUCUCCCGUAGGAGACGUCGUGCACGUUGCACAAACACGAGUAUUUCCUCAUCUAGUAGUGGAUUUUAUCCUGCAAGUAUCUUGUAACAAGAACGUCUUUAUUUUUUUUCACUGUUUUAUACAGCACCACGGUACAGCUCGUGUACCGUAUGGGGUUAAUCGGUGGACAUUAAAAAAGUUU
ensembl:lncRNA